UGGGGAAUAUUGGGCAAUGGGCGAAAGCCUGACCCAGCAACGCCGCGUGAAGGAUGAAGUAUUUCGGUAUGUAAACUUCGAAAGAAUAGGAAGAAUAAAUGACGGUACUAUUUAUAAGGUCCGGCUAACUACGUGCCAGCAGCCGCGGUAAUACGUAGGGACCAAGCGUUGUUCGGAUUUACUGGGCGUAAAGGGCGCGUAGGCGGCAAUUCAAGUCAUCUGUGAAAUCUCCGGGCUUAACUCGGAACGGUCAGAUGAUACUGCUUUGCUAGAGUGCAGAAGGGGCAAUCGGAAUUCUUGGUGUAGCGGUGAAAUGCGUAGAUAUCAAGAGGAACACCUGAGGCGAAGGCGAGUUGCUAGGCUGACACUGACGCUGAGGUACGAAAGCUAGGGGAGCGAACGGGAUUAGAUACCUAAGUAGUCCCUGAGCGGGCUGGCAAGGCGCAU
rnacentral:rRNA from 1 species